GAUGAACGCUAGCGGGAGGCCUAACACAUGCAAGCCGAGCGGUAUUUGUUCUUCGGAACAGAGAGAGCGGCGCACGGGUGCGGAACACGUGUGCAACCUGCCUUUAUCUGGGGGAUAGCCUUUCGAAAGGAAGAUUAAUACCCCAUAAUAUAUUGAGUGGCAUCAUUUGAUAUUGAAAGCUCCGGUGGAUAGAGAUGGGCACGCGCAAGAUUAGAUAUUUGGUGAGGUAACGGCUCACCAAGUCAAUGAUCUUUAGGGGGCCUGAGAGGGUGAUCCCCCACACUGGUACUGAGACACGGACCAGACUCCUACGGGAGGCAGCAGUGAGGAAUAUUGGACAAUGGGUUAGCGCCUGAUCCAGCCAUCCCGCGUGAAGGACGACGGCCCUAUGGGUUGUAAACUUCUUUUGUAUAGGGAUAAACCUACUCUCGUGAGAGUAGCUGAAGGUACUAUACGAAUAAGCACCGGCUAACUCCGUG
rnacentral:rRNA from 1 species